rnacentral:rRNA from 1 species
CCUACGGGUGGCAGCAGUGGGGAAUAUUGGACAAUGGGGGCAACCCUGAUCCAGCCAUGCCGCGUGUGUGAAGAAGGCCCUCGGGUUGUAAAGCACUUUCAGUGAGGAAGAACGCCUGGUGGUUAAUACCCAUCAGGAAAGACAUCACUCACAGAAGAAGCACCGGCUAACUCCGUGCCAGCAGCCGCGGUAAUACGGAGGGUGCGAGCGUUAAUCGGAAUUACUGGGCGUAAAGCGCGCGUAGGUGGCUUGAUAAGCCGGUUGUGAAAGCCCCGGGCUCAACCUGGGAACGGCAUCCGGAACUGUCAAGCUAGAGUGCAGGAGAGGAAGGUAGAAUUCCCGGUGUAGCGGUGAAAUGCGUAGAGAGCGGGAGGAAUACCAGUGGCGAAGGCGGCCUUCUGGACUGACACUGACACUGAGGUGCGAAAGCGUGGGUAGCAAACAGGAUUAGAUACCCUGGUAGUC